GGUCAAGUUAUUAAGGGUGCAGGGCGGAUGCCUUGGCACUAGGAGCCGAUGAAGGACGUGAUAAGCUGCGAUAAGCUUCGGGGAGUUGCACGUAAACUUUGAUCCGAAGAUUUCCGAAUGAGGAAACUCACUUAGAGUAAUGUCUAAGUAUCAUUAAGUGAAUACAUAGCUUAAUGAGGGGAACUCAGGGAACUGAAACAUCUAAGUACCUGAAGGAAGAGAAAGAAAUUCGAUUCCGUAAGUAGCGGCGAGCGAACGCGGAUUAGCCCAAACCAAUAAAGUUUUCUUUAUU
rnacentral:rRNA from 1 species